CUGAAAUAAGAUUAACAGAAAUAACUGUAAUCAUGAAGUUUGGUGUAUUUGGCUUUCUUAUCAGUGUACUGGUAGUCUCUGUGAAAACUGAAACUCAAAAUAUGAAAAUUCGUGACGUAAUGCUUGACGAAAUACAGAACAAACACUUUACAAAGAUUUUAAAAUUGAAAACGAUGGUCAUGGCAAUGAAUGAGUAGCUUAAAAGGCAGGAUGAAAAAAUCAGAAGUCAUAAUGAACGAAUUCAAGAGCAACAGCGGCGAUUGGAUGAUCAGGGCUAACAAAUUCGUAAGCACGAUCAACAGUUUCACGAGGUUGUAGAACAUAUCUCUGAAUUGCAAGAUAGUACAACCAAUGAAGAGAGCCAGAACCAAUCAAUGAGAGGCUCUGAAAUCAGUUCUUUGAAACACACAGAACCACGUGACUUUGUAAAAAACAGUAGCCAUUCGUUUAAAGACCAUCCACUGCGUCAUUUGAUUAAAUCCAUACCAAAAAGGAAAACCGGGAAAAGGAAAGGAAGGCCAUCUUUUAUAAAACGUUCAGGUAUA
rnacentral:lncRNA from 1 species